AUUGAAGAGUCCCAUAAUAGGACGAAACGUUCGUCAAGUAU
rnacentral:hammerhead_ribozyme from 1 species